rfam:Canis lupus familiaris chromosome 23, whole genome shotgun sequence.
AGCUUUGUGCAGUGGCAGUAUCGUAGCCAAUGAGGUUUAUCCAAGGCACGAUUAUUGCAAAUUUAGAGGUCAGUUAUGGAUUCAAGUCUACUAACUGGGCUUCCAGUUCAUUGGCUAGUUGUCUCUCCACUCAGAAAGUG